AGGAUUGCGCCUUGAUAGGACUUCAGUGGAGCAGCAAAAGAAAACAAAUAUUUCUUCUACGUUUGCCAAUACCUGAGAUGGGCUAGCAUCAAGAAAUUGAACUUUGCAUCAACAUGAGAGGCUGAACAA